ACCAGGGGCAACUCUGGUUCAGUGGCGGACGGGUGCGUAACACGUGAGGAACAUGACCUUCGGCGGGGGAUAGCCGGCCCAACGGCCGGGUAAUACCGCGUACGACCACAUGGGGACAUCCUUGAGUGGUGAAAGCAGCAAUGCGCCGAUGGAGUGCCUCGCGGCCUAUCAGCUAGUUGGUGAGGUAACGGCUCACCAAGGCGACGACGGGUAGCUGGUCUGAGAGGGUGACCGGCCACACUGGGACUGAGACACGGCCCAGACUCCUACGGGAGGCAGCAGUGGGGAAUAUUGCACAAUGGGCGCAAGCCUGAUGCAGCGACGCCGCGUGAGGGAUGACGGCCUUCGGG
rnacentral:rRNA from 1 species